GAGCCGCGGUGCAGACUGGGAGCAGGCGGCUGGCGCCAUUUUGGGAGCGCGGGGGGGAACGAUGUUGUCGAACGCGCAGCUUCUGGAUGAGUUGAUGGGCCGUGACCGUAACCUGGCCCCGGACGAGAAACGCCAGAAUGUCCGGUGGGACGAUGAGAGUGUAUGUAAAUAUUUCCUGUGUGGAUUCUGUCCAGCUGAGUUAUUUACGAACACACGCUCUGACCUGGGUCCCUGUGAGAAGAUUCAUGAUGACAAUCUGCGGAAAUACUAUGAGAAGAGCUCCCGUUUUAUGAAAGUGGGUUAUGAGAAAGACUUCCUGCGUUAUCUGCAAAACCUGAUGGCUGAUGUUGAGCGGCGGAUCCGUCGAGGUCAUGCUCGGUUGGCACUAUCCCAGAACACGACAACUGGAACAGCGACUGGAGGGCCUGUGAGUAAGAAUGAAGAGAAGGGUCAGGUUUUAACAGAGAAAAUAGAAGAACUCCUGGAACAGAUUGAGGAGCUGGGCUCUGAGGGGAAGGUGGAAGAGGCCCAGGGUAUGAUGAAACUUGUCGAACAGCUGAAAGAUGAGCGAGAGCAACUGCGAUCUGCCAGCUCGACCAUCGAGAGCUUUGCGGCCCAGGAGAAGCAGAUGGAGGUAUGUGAAGUGUGCGGUGCAUUCCUCAUCGUAGGAGAUGCACAGUCCAGGGUGGAUGAUCACUUAAUGGGGAAGCAGCACAUGGGCUAUGCGAAGAUCAAAGCAACCGUGGAGGAGCUAAAGGAGAAGGUUCGGAAGAAGACUGAAGAACCAGAACGUGAUGACAAAUUAAAACGCGAGAGGGAAGAACGGGAGCUGGAGCGAGAGCGUGAGCGGGAGGAGAGGGAGAAGAAACGGCGGCGGGAAGAGGAGGAGAAAGAGCGAGAGAGGGAGGCACGGCGUAGGAGGAGCCACUCGCGGAGCCGGCAUUCCCAUUCUAGCCGGGCGUCUGACAGAAGGCGAAGCAGGUCGCGUGAACGCAAGCGGUCACGCAGUAAGGAACGUGAAAAGAAACGCACCAGGGGUGAGGAUCGGCGGAGCAGAGACCGCUCUGAGAGAAGCAGAGACCGAUCAGAAAGGAAACACCGAUCCCGGAGUCGGGAUCGGCGCCGAUCACGAAGUCGGGAUGUCAGGUCACACAAGCACAGAAGCAGGAGCAGAGAGAAAGAGAGGAGGUCAAAGGACAAAGAAAGGAGAGACUCUGAUGAAAUGAGGAAAAGCAGUCGGAAACCCAGUCAGACAGACCGAGAGUGUGUAGAGGUUCGGCCAGACGCCAUGGAAGUGGACGCCACUAAAAGCGAGGUCAAUGGGAGAGAUGAAGACCUAAAAUCUGAAGGUGACACUCAGUCCAAUUAAAACUGAUCUGAUUUGACCUCAGAUCAGACCAAGGUUAGAGCUGUAGCCAGUCGUUAGCAGAAACCCCAGAAGACAAGUGCUCUGUGUAGGGCAGUAGGAAGUCUCCAAGAGGCGUGGCCAUUUUUGAAGAUGUCAAGGAAUCCCCGUUGAAGAUUCGACUGCUCGACCUGAAGUCUCUGCCCAGUUAAAACAAGGUGAAAGAAAGCUGUAGUGGUGUAGGGAGAGGGAAAGAGUGAGAGAAAUUGUAAUUUAAGCAAAAAAAUUCAUUUCAGAACUUUUAUGUACAAUUAGCUGCCCAAAGAAGUUCCCAUUUCUUGUGCUUGCAAUACUCUUUUUCACUAACAGUGAACUCGAGUCCUGUUUUUUCCACAAGUGUCAGACUAAAGUGAGCAGCACCCAAACCAUGUGACCUGCAAAUGUGUACCCGGUUUCCUUGACGUUUACAUUUCUUGGCAAACUGCUAUCUGUAAAUACACAGGCCACAAAGUUGUAUAGAGCUGUUUUGAUUAAGAGGCUGAUUUUUACCAUGCUCCUGUCGCCACUAUCCUUUUUUUUUUGUUUUUUGUAGUAUUAGGCUGCCUGCCUCUUUCUCAGUUUCCCAUCCAGCUGUGAGGACGAGUGUUUUUCCCUGCCCUGCUGUUCCUGUAUUUUGAAAAUGGUUGCUGUAAUUUGCAAAUUUUAGUGUUGAGUAUGAAUAAAUUUUUUUUCAGUAAA